rnacentral:rRNA from 1 species
GACGAACGCUGGCGGCGUGCUUAACACAUGCAAGUCGAACGGAAAGGCCCUGCUUUUGUGGGGUGCUCGAGUGGCGAACGGGUGAGUAACACGUGAGUAACCUGCCCUUGACUUUGGGAUAACUUCAGGAAACUGGGGCUAAUACCGGAUAGGAGCUCCUGCUGCAUGGUGGGGGUUGGAAAGUUUCGGCGGUUGGGGAUGGACUCGCGGCUUAUCAGCUUGUUGGUGGGGUAGUGGCUUACCAAGGCUUUGACGGGUAGCCGGCCUGAGAGGGUGACCGGCCACAUUGGGACUGAGAUACGGCACAGACUCCUACGGGAGGCAGCAGUGGGGAAUAUUGCACAAUGGGCGGAAGCCUGAUGCAGCAACGCCGCGUGCGGGAUGACGGCCUUCGGGUUGUAAACCGAUUUCGCCUGUGACGAAGCGUGAGUGACGGUAAUGGGUAAAGAAGCACCGGCUAACUACGUG